rnacentral:rRNA from 1 species
GAGCGGACGGAUGGGAGCUUGCUCCCUGAAGUCAGCGGCGGACGGGUGAGUAACACGUGGGCAACCUGCCUGUAAGACUGGGAUAACUUCGGGAAACCGGAGCUAAUACCGGAUAAUGCACAGCCUCUCAUGAGGCUAUGCUGAAAGAUGGUUUCGGCUAUCACUUACAGAUGGGCCCGCGGCGCAUUAGCUAGUUGGUGAGGUAACGGCUCACCAAGGCAACGAUGCGUAGCCGACCUGAGAGGGUGAUCGGCCACACUGGGACUGAGACACGGCCCAGACUCCUACGGGAGGCAGCAGUAGGGAAUCUUCCGCAAUGGACGAAAGUCUGACGGAGCAACGCCGCGUGAGUGAUGAAGGUUUUCGGAUCGUAAAACUCUGUUGUCAGGGAAGAACAAGUGCCGGAGUAACUGCCGGCACCUUGACGGUACCUGACCAGAAAGCCACGGCUAACUACGUGCCAGCAGCCGCGGUAAUACGUACGUGGCAAGCGUUGUCCGGAAUUAUUGUGCGUAAAGCGCGCGCAGGCGGUCUCUUAAGUCUGAUGUGAAAGCCCACGGCUC